CCUACGGGAGGCAGCAGUGAGGAAUAUUGUCAAUGGGCGCGAGCCUGAACCAGCCAAGUCGCGUGAGGGAAGACGGCCCUACGGGUUGUAAACCUCUUUUGCCGGGGAGCAACGGGCGCCACGUGUGGCGCCACUGAGAGUACCCGGAGAAAAAGCAUCGGCUAACUCCGUGCCAGCAGCCGCGGUAAUACGGAGGAUGCGAGCGUUAUCCGUAUUUAUUGGGUUUAAAGGGUGCGUAGGCGGAGCGUUAAGUCAGUGGGCAAAUUUGGGGGCUCAACCCCUUCCCGCCAUUGAAACUGGCGCUCUUGAGUGGAAGAGAAGUAUGCGGAAUGCGUGGUGUAGCGGUGAAAUGCAUAGAUAUCACGCAGAACCCCGAUUGCGAAGGCAGCAUGCCGGCUUCCUACUGACGCUGAAGCACGAAAGCGUGGGGAUCGAACAGGAUUAGAUACCCGAGUAGUC
rnacentral:rRNA from 1 species